rnacentral:rRNA from 1 species
UACGAAGGGGGCUAGCGUUGUUCGGAAUUACUGGGCGUAAAGCGCGCGUAGGCGGUUUUGCAAGCCAGAAGGUGAAAUGCCUGAGCUCAACUUAGGAAUUGCCUUUGGGACUGUGAGGCUUUGAGGACGGGAGAGGUGAGUGGAAUUCCCAGUGUAGAGGUGAAAUUCGUAGAUAUUGGGAAGAACACCGGUGGCGAAGGCGGCUCACUGGCCCGUUUCUGACGCUGUAGCGCGAAAGCGUGGGGAUCAAACAGG